ACAAAUUGAAAUUUAGUAACCAACUGAAAUCAAUAAAAGUUCAAUGACCACAGAUGAAAUCAACCCUAUCACCAACAUGAUUAUAUUUUGAGAAAAAAAAAAUAGCAUUCUUCUUUCAAAAAGUAUAACUUUCUAUCUCCUGCCAACCCUAAAGUGGUCUUUAAUGAUGAACCCAUGAGUAUCAACUUCAGGCUAUACAUACUUCUGUA
rnacentral:misc_RNA from 1 species